rnacentral:rRNA from 1 species
GUGGGGAAUAUUGGACAAUGGGGGGAACCCUGAUCCAGCCAUGCCGCGUGUGUGAAGCAGGCCUUUUGGUUGUAAAGCACUUUAAGCGAGGAGGAGGCUACCGAGAUUAAUACUCUUGGAUAGUGGACGUUACUCGCAGAAUAAGCACCGGCUAACUCUGUGCCAGCAGCCGCGGUCAUACAGAGGGUGCACGCGUUAAUCGGAUUUACUGGGCGUAAAGCGCGCGUAGGUGGCUAAUUAAGUCAAAUGUGAAAUCCCCGAGCUUAACUUGGGAAUUGCAUUCGAUACUGGUUGACUAGAGUAUGGGAGAGGAUGGUAGAAUUCCAGGUGUAGCGGUGAAAUGCGUAGAGAUCUGGAGGAAUACCGAUGGCGAAGGCAGCCAUCUGGCCUAAUACUGACACUGAGGUGCGAAAGCAUGGGGAGCAAACAGGAUUAGAAACCCUUGUAGUCC